AGUCACGUGACGUCAACGGAGAGUGGUUUCCUUCGUGGUCACACAUGUUGCGGCUUUUGCUGAACAUUUUUUGCUCCUUUUUUUUCCGCAAACAUGUUCCAAAACAAGCAGCUUCCAGCGUCUCAUUUGUCGAUGUCCAAUGUGUAUCGCGACUGCUAUUGCUGUUAAAGUUCGUGCCACCGAAAUUUGGGCCGCACUCGAAGACGCGUGUUUGGAUUAACUGGCAGCAUGUCAAGAUAGUUCAUUGGUGUCCGAACUGAGACCAUCAACCCUCUCCACGUGAGAACCCGGCUUUAAUUACAAGCGGAUGAAACCCAGAACAGAAAGUCUCAUCGUAACGCGAGCCAGGCCCAACCUGAGCCCCCUCAACUACGAACUCUUCAAGCAUUUUUUCACGGGUAUCCUUUCAUAACAAUCAAAAAGGGUUUACAUCUCUCGCUGUUUCAACGUGACUGCACACGGGGUCUCAACGACAACAAAAAAAUUACUCCCGGGCGUGCCAUUCAUUCUAGGCACUGUUGCAACAAGCUUUCAGGUAUGUUUAACGAUGGCUGGAGAGAGAGAGAGAGAAAAACAAAUAACUCUUUGGGUCUUCAUGCAACGUUAUUAUUGUCACUGUGCGUUUACAAUGAAGGAUAUUGAAAACAAUGUUGUUCUGGGUUUUUUUUUUGCGUGCUCCGAAAAUAUGUUUGCGAUGGACACCGGCUGAAUAACGGCCCACUGAGGUGUAAUUAGCCUGCGAUCAAUUCACACGAACGCUCCCCAACACCUCGGCAGAUCUCACGAGCUAAGCUGGAGUUGAGCCUGGAUAGUGCUUGGAUGGGUGAGCACCGUGCGGAAUAUGUGCUCUGGGCUGCGGGGCUACGUGCUGGACAACAGAGAGCGGUGCCCCAAAAUCCAUUGUGCUGUACUUCUGUGCUCCCCCCACGUCUAUCCUUCCUGCAUUCACUAUACUUCUACUCCUAAGCCUUCACGCUGACGUUCACCGCUCGCUUUGCCAACCUUCAGAGACCCGCAUGGCGAAGUAUGGUUCAACAGCACCCGUGAUUGACACGGCGUGAGGAGACCUGGAUUAUUGUCAAACAGCCUGAAUGGCAUGGCAUGAGGAAUCCUUCAUCCAGCAGUGGAUUGACAAAGAGCAAUACAUCAUCAUUAUUAUUCAGAACACGACGUGCACACCCUAUCCUUUGCUUACACUUGUAUCACUUGUGUGUGUUUCACUUGUCGUCAUUGUACAGCCAUUUCAAUGAAAGCGUGAUGAUGCAACGUCCAUGCCCCGAUGCAAUUAAGCCAGCGCUAACAAGUCGCUCCCAGUGACGACACUGCCCCGUCUAAAGCCCCCGCAGAGCCAACGGUAGAGACGCUGCGGAGAGCGCGAAGCGACGCCGCUCUUCCAAAUCCGCCGAGUCCCGGCCUCGGCCAGCGCCGCUGCCACGUGUGACAACAAUUGGCCAUCUUCAUAACAUCGCCAGCCACAGAAGCACCA